rnacentral:lncRNA from 1 species
AUCGUCUUCAGGGCAGCACCCAACACGUCGGCCGUCCUCUCCGAACACUGAUAGCACAUUUAUGCAUAUAGUAUUUUUAGCCUUUUUGAGUCACAAAUUAAACAUAUGAUCUUAGUAAUCACUCAUAAAGUAUUCAUUCCUACAGAAAUAUUCCUAUUGUGAUAUUUUUACAACACUUAUUCAUUUUUUGCAGGACUGGUGCGUUUAGGCACCCAAAUUUCGUCGAAAAUGCUUUCAACACUAAAGCGGGGAUCAACUUGGAGAAGAGUUCAGUUCUCGAGGGGGCAAAACCGAAAAGUACCAGAGGAGCUGGGGUCUGGCGUGACACACGAGACGUGGUGUCUGAUCCCACGCGCGACUGAACCACCAAGAAGAGGAGUGGGGGUCGAAGGAAAAACAACCAGGGGGCCGACUGCUCUCGCUCUCCACGCUGCUCACCUACCACCAGAUCGAACCAGAGGAACACCGGAUUGGAGGAGGGAGAAAAGGGGAUCGAGGGAAGCGAGAAGGAGAACCAGAUCGAAUCCACUGCUCCUCUUCAAUGCCGACGUCGACCCGCUGUACUUCCUCAUCCCCAACCUCAAGAAACAGAGCUGUUGAUCCUCUCCAACGACUUCUCGGUGUUCCGCUGCGAGGCUUCUCCGUCCUGACCGACUGCUGCUGCUCGUCUCCAACACCUACGCCCGUGCCGCUCUGCUCCAACAUCGACUCCCGCGCCGGUCUGCUUCAACUCCGACGACCGCCGCUGCGGCAUCUCCUGCGGGGCGCCGGACACCAGGUGGUUCUCUGCUUCGGGUGGUCGGCUGACCUCCCGUGAAGGCCACCACGAUUCCUCCCCAAGGCCGGGCCCUCCGCUGCUGAUCUUCACCAAGUCCUCUUCACCACGCUGCAGCUCAACCCCAAGGAUCCUCCUCCGCUACUCUUCUUCAACAUCCACGCGGAAGUUUCUGCUGCUACAGAUCGUCUCCAAUGUGCCUCUGCUACUCUUCUUCGCCUGCAACAUCUACAGCUUCGAAUCGAAGAUCAUCAAGACCCAUAGGCUCUGAACUUCUCUCUUCUCUUGUUCCUGUUCUCUGAGUAUAUGCACUGUUGGGUCUGAAAUUUACUCUGUUACCUGUGCACCUUUGCUGAACCCUCAUGUAUCCUUGCUGAAUUGUUGUGAUCCUUUGCUGGAUAUUAAGUUAGUAGUUAUUCUCCUGUGAGCUGCUGUCACUUUAAUUGGUUGCAUGAGUUGUGUGUGAUGUCUGAACCAUCUUCCAUGUGCUAGUGUUACUUGUCUGUUUGCUUACAAGAAAAUCACUAAAAAGAGAAAGUCCUAUUUCUGAACCCUUUUACCCUUGCUGCAUAUUAUUUUGUUUUACCUUGUUCCAGUAGCUGCUUGUUGUCACUUCGGUUGGAUUCAUUUGUUCAGUUGUUCUGAAUGCUUCAAAUGUGUGCUCCGAAGUUCUAGAUCCCUGUGCAUGUUCAGCACCACCACCGCGCCUCCACGACACCCAGCGCCACCACUCUCAAUCUCCUGCUGCUCCUAACCUUCUUCGCGCCACCUGCUGCUGCUCUUCUCUGAACCCCGUGCUGCCGCCCUUCUUCUCUUCCUACUUUUACUACUCCAUCUCCACCGCCCCUUGCUGCUGUUGCCUCAACCUGCUGCUUCUUCCUCUCUGAAUCCCUACUGCUGCUGCCUUUCUUCUCCCCUUGCUACUGCUCCUCUUUCCAGCGCCCCCUUUGCUGCUCCUCUUUCCUUCGCUUGCUCUGCUUCUUCCCCUGCCUUGCUAAAGUUCUCUCCUCACGCCCUCUGCUGCUGCUCCUUCUCAACCCCCCUGCUGCCUCUGUUUCUUCUUGAACCUGAACUCUCUCUCUCUCUCUCUCUCUGAAUUUUCUGUAAGCUAAGAUGUGUAAAACUUUGUAAUGUUCAGAUUCUAAGAGCACUUGCAAUCUGAUAUAUGUUUAGUAGGUACUUGUCAUUUUCUGUUAAUUAAUAUUCUGCUAGUGUAUGUGUGUGAUCUCCUUUGUGUUCAUUUCUUGACUUGUGCUUGUUCAGUUCGAAUCAUUUUGUUGAUCUGUGAGCACUUCUUGUAACCCCCUGGUCGUAUACAUGUGUGUAUUGUAGACCCUGUGUUAACUAUGUGCAUGUGAAAUUAUAUAUGUAUGUGGUGUGAAACUUAUAUAUCCCAGCACCAUACUACUUGUGCAUGUUCAGCACUAUGAUACAUCUUUUAUUUCUAGUUCAUAUAUUCCUCCUAUGUACUUGUGAUAUGUACGUGCUUUUGAUGUGAAUCACUUCUGUCCUUGUCCCAUUAUCUUUGUUCUGUGUUUUUCUUCUUAUAUAUUACUACUAGUUAUAUUU